rnacentral:rRNA from 1 species
GUGCCAGCAGCCGCGGUAAUACGAAGGGGGCUAGCGUUGUUCGGAAUUACUGGGCGUAAAGCGCGCGUAGGCGGCGUGACAAGUUAGGCGUGAAAUGCCUGGGCUUAACCCAGGAACUGCGCUUAAGACUGUUAUGCUAGAGACUAGGAGAGGGUGGCGGAAUUCCCAGUGUAGAGGUGAAAUUCGUAGAUAUUGGGAAGAACACCGGUUGCGAAGGCGGCCACCUGGACUAGAACUGACGCUGAGGUGCGAAAGCGUGGGGAGCAAACAGGAUUAGAAACCCUGGUAGUCC